GACGAACGCUGGCGGCGUGCUUAACACAUGCAAGUCGAGCGGUAAGGCCCUUUCGGGGGUACACGAGCGGCGAACGGGUGAGUAACACGUGGGUGACCUGCCCUCAGCUCUGGGAUAAGCCUGGGAAACCGGGUCUAAUACUGGAUAUGACUCCAUGACGCAUGUUGUGGGGUGGAAAGCCUUGUGCGGCUGAGGAUGGGCCCGCGGCCUAUCAGCUUGUUGGUGGGGUGANGGCCUACCAAGGCGACGACGGGUAGCCGGCCUGAGAGGGCGACCGGCCACACUGGGACUGAGACACGGCCCAGACUCCUACGGGAGGCAGCAGUGGGGAAUAUUGGACAAUGGGCGAAAGCCUGAUCCAGCGACGCCGCGUGGGUGAAGAAGGCCUGCGGGUUGUAAAGCCCUUUCGGUGGGGAAGAAAAGCCUCGAGUUAAUACCUCGGGGUCUUGACGUAACCCAUAGAAGAAGCACCGGCUAACUCUGUGCCAGCCGCCG
rnacentral:rRNA from 1 species